rnacentral:lncRNA from 1 species
UGUCACCUCGUCUCGUCCUCGCAGCAUCGAAGAGUACCUAUGCACUAUAUUCCGAUUCACUGAUAAGGAAGAUAGAGUUGGGGUGGGGGUCUACGAUGUGAUACUAUAGUAUAGUAUGCCCUGGGGAGAAAGAUGCGCAACUCAAAACGGAAGCAGGAAGCGUGUUGUCAAAAAUGUCGGAGGUUACCAGAUCUCUGAGACUACCAUCGAUCCGACAGAGCGGAACGACCAGAAAAAGAAGUGGAGUUAGAA